GACGAACGCUGGCGGCGUGCUUAACACAUGCAAGUCGAACGGAAAGGCCCUGCUUUUGUGGGGUGCUCGAGUGGCGAACGGGUGAGUAACACGUGAGUAACCUGCCCUUGACUUUGGGAUAACUUCAGGAAACUGGGGCUAAUACCGGAUAGGAGCUCCUGCUGCAUGGUGGGGGUUGGAAAGUUUCGGCGGCUGGGGAUGGACUCGCGGCUUAUCAGCUUGUUGGUGGGGUAGUGGCUUACCAAGGCUUUGACGGGUAGCCGGCCUGAGAGGGUGACCGGCCACAUUGGGACUGAGAUACGGCCCAGACUCCUACGGGAGGCAGCAGUGGGGAAUAUUGCACAAUGGGCGGAAGCCUGAUGCAGCAACGCCGCGUGCGGGAUGACGGCCUUCGGAUUGUAAACCGCUUUCGCCUGUGACGAAGCGUGAGUGACGGUAAUGGGUAAAGAAGCACCGGCUAACUACGUGCCAGCAGCCGCGGUGAUACGUAGGGUGCGAGCGUUGUCCGGAUUUAUUGGGCGUAAAGGGCUCGUAGGUGGUUGAUCGCGUCGGAAGUGUAAUCUUGGGGCUUAACCCUGAGCGUGCUUUCGAUACGGGUUGACUUGAGGAAGGUAGGGGAGAAUGGAAUUCCUGGUGGAGCGGUGGAAUGCGCAGAUAUCAGGAGGAACACCAGUGGCGAAGGCGGUUCUCUGGGCCUUUCCUGACGCUGAGGAGCGAAAGCGUGGGGAGCGAACAGGCUUAGAUACACUGGUAGUCCACGCUGUAAACGGUGGGUACUAGGUGUGGGGUCCAUUCCACGGGUUCCGUGCCGUAGCUAACGCUUUAAGUACCCCGCCUGGGGAGUACGGCCGCAAGGCUAAAACUCAAAGGAAUUGACGGGGCCCCGCACAAGCGGCGGAGCAUGCGGAUUAAUUCGAUGCAACGCGUAGAACCUUACCUGGGUUUGACAUGGAUCGGGAGUGCUCAGAGAUGGGUGUGCCUCUUUUGGGGUCGGUUCACAGGUGGUGCAUGGCUGUCGUCAGCUCGUGUCGUGAGAUGUUGGGUUAAGUCCCGCAACGAGCGCAACCCUUGUUCACUGUUGCCAGCACGUUAUGGUGGGGACUCAGUGGAGACCGCCGGGGUCAACUCGGAGGAAGGUGGGGAUGACGUCAAGUCAUCAUGCCCCUUAUGUCCAGGGCUUCACGCAUGCCACAAUGGCUGGUACAGAGAGUGGCGAGCCUGUGAGGGUGAGCGAAUCUCGGAAAGCCGGUCUCAGUUCGGAUUGGGGUCUGCAACUCGACCUCAUGAAGUCGGAGUCGCUAGUAAUCGCAGAUCAGCAACGCUGCGGUGAAAAAGUUCCCGGGGCU
rnacentral:rRNA from 1 species